GUAGGGAUCUUCCGCAAUGGGCGAAAGCCUGACGGAGCAAUGCCGCGUGAGUGAUGAAGGUUUUCGGAUCGUAAAGCUCUGUUGCCAGGGAAGAACGCUUGGGAGAGUAACUGCUCUCAAGGUGACGGUACCUGAGAAGAAAGCCCCGGCUAACUACGUGCCAGCAGCCGCGGUAAUACGUAGGGGGCAAGCGUUGUCCGGAAUUAUUGGGCGUAAAGCGCGCGCAGGCGGUCAUUUAAGUCUGGUGUUUAAUCCCGGGGCUCAACCCCGGAUCGCACUGGAAACUGGGUGACUUGAGUGCAGAAGAGGAGAGUGGAAUUCCACGUGUAGCGGUGAAAUGCGUAGAUAUGUGGAGGAACACCAGUGGCGAAGGCGACUCUCUGGGCUGUAACUGACGCUGAGGCGCGAAAGCGUGGGGAGCAAACAGGAUUAGAUACCCUGGUAGUCCACGCCGUAAACGAUGAGUGCUAGGUGUUAGGGGUUUCGAUACCCUUGGUGCCGAAGUUAACACAUUAAGCACUCCGCCUGGGGAGUACGGUCGCAAGACUGAAACUCAAAGGAAUUGACGGGGGCCC
rnacentral:rRNA from 1 species